rnacentral:lncRNA from 1 species
GCAUAAGCAAACACAGUAGAUCUCACCUUUGGUAACAGUCAGGUUUAUUAAAUUCAUAACCUGGGCACAGAGCAGCCGUUACAUGCCCAGGAGCAAGAAUUGUACUUUGCAAGCAUGGCACCUAUUUCUGAAAAAUACUAGUGUGGCAUGUUGAUUCCAGUUAUUCUGGGAGAGGAGAGAAUAUGGAAGGAGUGCAAAUAGCAUGGAGGCAAUGUGCCUAGGGAAAUGUGGACUCUAUAUUCUGUCACAACACAGCAUGGAUGUUGUGUUUGCUUUUGUAGAGAGGUCUGUGUGAUAUUUAAGCCAUUUGUGCCAGAAUAAAGCUCAUAUAUUGCAAGAUGCUGUGGCAUAUUGAUCUUCCACACUUGAAUAAAUGACUAGCAUGAGCUUUAAGGGCAUAAGAAUGGCCAAAGAUGCAGGCAAGAUAUCUUAGAAUUGUUUAAACAGUUCUUUCUGACUAACUUCACUAGAAAGACCAUAUAUCCUUUAAAUUUCAGUCCUUUAUCAUAGCAUGUCAGCUAUUUUUGCUGCACAGAGUGAAACAGAUAAAGUGUUGCCUUCAUCCUCAAAAGGAAAGCUUGGACUGAAAUUCUCUUCACAGUGCAGACAAAUUUGAGCUCACCAGCCAUUCCUUUCAACUUUGUUUCCUUUCAGGAGACAAGGAGUAAUUCCCAGAGGGUCAUAAACUUUAUAACAGAUAUUGCAGUUUUAAAUGCCUCAGAUUAGAUUGUGCACUGAAUUACAGCUGGCAAGGUCAUGGUGUUCCCAUUUUGUAAAACUUUAUUUUAUUUUAUUUUAUUUUAUUUUAUUUUAUUUUAUUUUAUUUUAUUUUAUUUUAAUUUUAUUUUCCUCCAACAGGAAGAAAACAAGAUCUUCCAAGUUUUCCAAGUUUCUCAUGGAAGAGGCUGGGAAAGACUAGAACAAACACCCUUACAUCAAAAAUGCAAUGCUUCAAUCUCUAAACCAAAAUCUUUGGAAGAGCUGCUUUCUACAUGACUAGGCUGAGCCUGAGACAGAUGGAAAAACUGUGGGUGCUGAAAAGCAGUCUCUAUAGAGAAACCAGCAGUAUAUAAAAGUUGGGUAAGUAACUUCUGCUAUAGCCAUUUUUUUAACAAUUGGAACAAUAUACAUAACAGACUUAGUGACUUACUGGUACUUAGCAGCAGAAGGAAGACAAAAUGGACUAGCGAGGGACUACAUGAAGGGAAGCUUCCCGUCUAUGCUGUUUGCAAGAAUUUUGCAGUUAUAUAUAACAGAAGAAAAACAGUGAGUUGGAGAAAGGAAUCUGCUUAUCUCCUCUAUGAUAUUUGCAUGGUUCAUAUUUCAAAAUUUUCAAGUUAAGGUCAACUUUGAAACACAUCUUACUUAAAAUCUCAAAUAUUCUUGAGUGAUACAUAAUUAAUUAAGCCAAAAACAGUGUUUCUUUUAAUUUUAGAAGACUAUACUUUAUUUCAUACUUUCAAUUCCAUGAUAACUCUUGAAAUAUAUCAUACGCAAAAGCCCGGUUUUCUACUGAUAUAACUCAGAUUUAUUUAAUUGGCUUCAGUCAAGCAAAGUUUAUUUAUCAGUUGACAACAUAGUCUAGGAAUUACUAUAUAAAUGAAGGAAAUGCUAUAUUGAUGAAGAAAUAAUGCAGUGAAAAUAUCACUUAUAACUAUACUAAACAAACAGGUUGCAAAAAAGAAGGUCUUAGGAAAUUACUGUUUUCAGUAGAACUGUCCAUGUUGUAAAGAAAUGUGUCAGAGUAGGUGCAAUAUUGCGUUAAAGUAAAAUAAAAGUUUUUGCUAUACAGUGGGAUUAAGUUUA